UCAGGUAGUAGUGGGUGUAGCGUACCUACUAGCCUACGACGGGUACGGGUUGUGAGAGCAAGAGCCCGGAGAUGGAUUCUGAGGCACGAAUCCAGGCCCUACGGGGUGCAGCAGGCGCGAAAACUUUACAAUGCUGGAAACAGCGAUAAGGGGACCUCGAGUGCCAGGUUACAAAUCUGGCUGUCGUGAUGCCUAAAAAGCAUUGCAUAGCAAGGGCCGGGCAAGACCGGUGCCAGCCGCCGCGGUAACACCGGCGGCUCGAGUGGUAACCGUUAUUAUUGGGUCUAAAGGGUCUGUAGCCGGCCGGAUAAGUCUCUUGGGAAAUCUGGCAGCUUAACUGUCAGGCUUUCAGGAGAUACUGUCUGGCUCGAGGCCGGGAGAGGUGAGAGGUACUUCAGGGGUAGGGGUGAAAUCUUGUAAUCCUUGAAGGACCACCAGUGGCGAAGGCGUCUCACCAGAACGGACCUGACGGCAAGGGACGAAAGCUAGGGGCACGAACCGGAUUAGAUACCCGGGUAGUCCUAGCCGUAAACGAUACUCGCUAGGUGUCGGCAACGGUGCGACCGUUGUCGGUGCCGUAGGGAAGCCGUGAAGCGAGCCACCUGGGAAAUACGGCCGCAAGGCUGAAACUUAAAGGAAUUGGCGGGGGAGCAC
rnacentral:rRNA from 1 species